rnacentral:rRNA from 1 species
UAGGGAAUCUUCGGCAAUGGACGAAAGUCUGACCGAGCAACGCCGCGUGAGUGAAGAAGGUUUUCGGAUCGUAAAACUCUGUUGUUAGAGAAGAACAAGGACGUUAGUAACUGAACGUCACCUGACGGUAUCUAACCAGAAAGCCACGGCUAACUACGUGCCAGCAGCCGCGGUAAUACGUAGGUGGCAAGCGUUGUCCGGAUUUGUUGGGCGUAAAGCGAGCGUAGGCGGUUACUUAAGUCUGAAGUGAAAGCCCCCGGCUCAACCGGGGAGGGUCAUUGGAAACUAGGAGACUUGAGUGCAGGAGGGGGGAGUGGAAUUCCAUGUGUAGCGGUGAAUUGCGUAGAGAUAGGGAGGAACACCAGUGGGGAAGGCGGCUCUCUGGUCUGUAACUGCCGCUGAGGCACGAAAGCGUGGGGAGCAAACAGG